UACGUAGGGUGCAAGCGUUAAUCGGAAUUACUGGGCGUAAAGCGUGCGCAGGCGGCUUUGCAAGACAGAUGUGAAAUCCCCGGGCUUAACCUGGGAACUGCAUUUGUGACUGCAUGGCUGGAGUGCGGCAGAGGGGGAUGGAAUUCCGCGUGUAGCAGUGAAAUGCGUAGAUAUGCGGAGGAACACCGAUGGCGAAGGCGGCAUCCUGGACCGACACUGACGCUGAGGAGCGAAAGCCAGGGGAGCAAACGGG
rnacentral:rRNA from 1 species